AUUGAACGCUGGCGGCAUGCCUUACACAUGCAAGUCGAACGGUAACGGGCCUUCGGGUGCCGACGCGUGGCGAACGGGUGAGUAAUACAUCGGAACGUGCCCGAUCGUGGGGGAUAACGAGGCGAAAGCUUUGCUAAUACCGCAUACGAUCUACGGAUGAAAGCAGGGGACCGCAAGGCCUUGCGCGGACGGAGCGGCCGAUGGCAGAUUAGGUAGUUGGUGGGAUAAAAGCUUACCAAGCCGACGAUCUGUAGCUGGUCUGAGAGGAUGAUCAGCCACACGGGGACGGGAACACGGCCCAGACUCCUACGGGAGGCAGCAGUGGGGAAUUUUGGGCAAUGGGCGCAAGCCUGAUCCAGCCAUGCCGCGUGCAGGAUGAAGGCCUUCGGGUUGUAAACUGCUUUUGUACGGAACGAAAAGCCUUCUUUUAAUACAGGAGGGUCAUGACGGUACCGUAAGAAUAAGCACCGGCUAACUACGUG
rnacentral:rRNA from 1 species